ensembl:snoRNA small nucleolar RNA SNORD67
UCAGAGAGUGAUGAGUUGCACUGAUCAUUUGGGGUGUUUGCUGCAGUGGCAUCAUCUCCCCAAUCCGACCCAACCUGGGGACACACAGUGUGCACAGGGGCCAUCUGACUCAGC